ACUAGCGCGCCUCCUUCCCCUCGGAGAGAAUCUACAGGAAGGCAGCGAGUCCAGGAAACAGCGUUUGAGACCCGGCCCUGUGACCGAGGUUUGGGGCGUCGACCAAACUUCACUUGGACCAAUCGCAGUUCGCGGCGAAACUUUGUAAACAACUCUCACGCGCUGUUUGACGCCUAGUCUUUUGUGUUUACUACGCGGAGAGGCCGCGGCGCUGCGGUCCGGCGGGAAGCGUCGCGACAGUCCUCCAUGAUUAUGAAAAUCAAACCCUUCUUAGGAGCGAUGCAGCAUCCAAAGGCCUGUCAUCCUGUGGUGGUAUUACACAAGAGCUCACACCAGGCUCCUCCGUGGGCAAGCUGGGAUCAGAUGACUACGAUGAGCAGCGUACGCAUGUGAGCAGUCAAAGCCUAUAUUGUACUGUGCCCACCUUUCCUUGGCAUGAAGUGGCCGUGCCAUUGCAAACAGUGGUGCGAAUGGGAGCCAACGGAAACAACACCAGUCAUCUCUCCUCUAUUCCCCACCCAGGCUGAUAAGAUUAACCACCGGCCUGUGGCUCCCAGCUGUUGAGCACCCAACCGGCUUCAGGCAUGAAUGGAGCCCUACCUGUGGGAUAGGUUCAGGUGAAUCCAGGUGUCUGUAAGGCAGGGAUUUACAUUUUCUCAGGACAGGCAGCCCAUGGAGAGAGGCCUGCUGGCAGAUCAAAGGCUCCGGCUGUAAAACGAUCUGAAAGAGUCCGGCAUUAGCAUCCAUCAGGGUACCUUGAAAGCUCCCUGGUCAGCCGAGAGGGAAGCUGAGGGCCCCCCAAAGUGAAAGCCCAGUCUGGAGAGGGGUGAUACAGAGGCAGGGGGGGGGUAGAGAGGGGGUGGAAAGAGAGAGAGGUGGAGGGGUGAGUAACUCAGCUAAAGUAAUGAAGGAAAUAUUUCCAUGAGGGAGGAAAUUCCCAUUAUAAGCUGCAAAUGUUUUUAUGUCUCUUUGGAUCGAGCCUCUUCCUCUCUCCUCCGUGCUGUCUCCUUGAUUUCUUCGCAACCUUCUCCUUUAUAGCGUUGCUGCUGUAAGAGGAGAACAUCUCCAUCUGUGCACCAUCUCCACGCGGCUCGCUCGGCCCAGACUUUUACUACUCCACCCUGCAGUCCACAAGUACAGGGUCACGUCUGGUCGAGGAUGGGAAGUGGGGUGAAGGAAGGAGGGAGGGAUAGAGUGUGGGAGGAAGGAAAGUGGCUUCAUACAGCAUAUUGUAUCUUUUUACAUUACCAGUACGGGGGCUGCAUGUGUGGGUUCCUUCUUUUUAUGCAAUAACUGUGAUUCACAGGCUUGUAAUGGAGAAGUGCCUCACAUGUGUGAUAGGGAUCAAGGGUGAGACCUGCAUUCUUGGUUUGCUGCAACGUCUCUGCAUUUGUGUCUGUUUCAACAAUAAAAACUAAUGAGCGUGUUCGUCAUGUAAAUCCCAAAGAAUUAGCUGAUCCUGUGUUAGAAUUCCCCCACGAAUCAAGAUUUAUACACACUCGACUGUGAAGUCCGUUUUUCUUGGAGAGACCUUCUGCUGCAGUCUGUUACAUGAUGAUAUUCAGAACUUCUGCUGACUGUGAACCCUUUGGCUUGACUUCCCUGCAAUGGUCCUAAGCGCUGUGAAUGAGCACAGAUCUCUGGGAGGUCACGGAUCUCAGUUGGAUCUAUUAUGAUGCUAAGUGUCGGAAGUGUCGGGAGAUUUUGUCAUUUAUUUACUGCAAAUAUAAACACGCAGCAAGUACGUAAUGGACAAACUAGGCAGAAAAAGCCUUUUUUGAUAAAAUGCAUGAAUGCAAAUUGGUUAUUCACACAUACAGUACUGUGAUGAAUGAAAUGAUUGGAGCUAUUGGCCAUAUGUCAAGAACAAUACUAUAAUGCAAAUACAUGGUUGAGCGGAUUUCAGUUAAUAAUUGAUAUAAUAAACAAAAUGUUUUAGAUAUUUCGAUGUAAUGCAGCACACAGUGCAUCCAACACUGAGCCUGUGUUGCUCCGUGUGCAGCUUGCCGACAUGUGUGGGGCGUCCUGUGUGCGGGGCCAGGGCCGCAUGCCGCUGUCUGGGCUCUGUAAUGGAUGACACACAGACAGACAGACAGUGGCGGGGCCUCAGUUCAACCGUCCUGUUCACUGAGGAUGAGUUCCCUCUUCUGUUUAGGGAAAAGGAUGUGAUCUCACUCGCGAAAAAUCCAACCUAUGUCGCUUGCCACUCAUGACUUAAUCCAAGUUUCUCCUUUGUGCGCAGUGCCCUCCCCUUCCCCACCCGUCCUCUGUCGUCUCUCUGUCCUCCCCUCGCUCUGUCCCGCUACCUCUCCAGGCGUCUGUUUGCAUAACUUAGCAUGAGCUUCGUGUGAUUUGCGUGGAAUGCGUCAGUCCAUCACAUUGUUUACAUUCAUCCCAAUUUGUGGCAACUCCCAUUUCCUAGCUUGCUUAAAAUCCAUAUUUUCCCUAACAGGGGUUCUUUAAACACAUAGCUCUGUGUUUAGUAAGACUCAGCCAUUACAGCAGCAUCACAAAUGUGAGGCUUUUUUUCUGACAACACAACAAAUAUAUUAAAUACUGUAUGCGUUGUAGUAAGUUAUGUGCUUUGACUGUAUUUGGAAUAGUCCUUUGUUGAUCUCUGAAAGUUGACAAAAAUUUAAUUAGUGAAUGGACAAAGUAACAUAAUAUAACAACUAAUAAAUGGAUAUAAAGAGGCGUCAAUCAUAGCAAUUUCAGAAUCUAGACACUUCUCAGAAGUAUCGUGGUCUCCAGUGACAAUGAUGAUGGACACGCCCCCUUAAACUGAUGGGCUUCUUACUUUGAUGUACACGCAAGCAGAGGAUUGUUAAAGUCGUGUAAACUGUAAUGUUGAUGUUUUGUCAUUUUAUUUCUGUUUAAUGUCCACACCAGCUGCGUGUUUGUGCUUUCUGCACGUUUGCAUGUAUGCGUUUAACAUAUUCUUAUGCAUCGUUAGCGCUGCACCUCUGUUGUCCCCCUGGCCACUGAUCCCCAUCUCCUUCCCACAGGUCCUGCAGCCCUCACUUCGUAGGCUGCCUCACUCGUCACGGUUUGCAGCGAGCGAGCGCGAGGCCUCGUAACUUAAAGGGCUGUCGUAAUCAUGACGCCAGUAAACGUUGUUCUUUUGCUGCUUGUUCCAAAUGCAAACGCAUUCCCAACCAGCUCCUCUCCUUUAUCUAGCGCCUGGAUCCUCACACUAAACACAUUACUCCCUGCGUCAGCAUCACCUGGGGACAUACUGGUAUUUCCAGCAUGUUAAAAGCCCAAAGGCACAAACUGUCUCAUAGCUAGUUUGUGGUGUGAGGACUCCUAUUACUAUGCCAGACUCAAGACACUGGAACAACCUGCUGCCAGUAGUAAAGGGAUGUGAAGAUGGGAGGCUGCCAACGCUUUCAUCUCUUAGUUAUUCAGAUUAGCCUUUAAACACCUCAAAUUCCCCAACACCUACAUGUCUUACAUCAACAGUUAGCGCUAACGUGACAACCCACGGCGUUUCACAGAUAGUGUUACAGCAACGUAUUCCUAACUAAUGCGUAACUGUAUAUUCUUGUUCUAGAAUUACCGACUGAAUAGAGAUAAGACCUUUUGGGAAAUUUCCCAUCAUAGUUCAUUUUAUUUCUACAAAUGAGACUUAACUUAUACGCGAUGAGAAUAUUUAGUACGGCAUUCUUUUAAUGAAUCUUGCUCAGAUCUGUGAUAUUUUGCCCCAAUCUGUGCGUGGACGUGGAUUCCUGGUAUCACCCGUGUGAGCUCCAGUUGACCACACAGCGUGCCCUCAUCCGCACACACACACACACACGUUCAGCUGAGGAAUGUCUCCCACAAUCCACCUUAUCAGCCCUUUUGUCUGUUUUGUCUAAGGGGCAUCCGAAGACAGCUUUGGGAAUACACACCUCUCUUCUUUUUUGUCGCAUUCCCUCCUGCAUUCUUCCCUUCUUCCUUUUAUCCCUCUCUUGCAUUUCUCUCAUAUCCCUCAUUACCUCAUGUACUUUCAUUUCAUACAUUUAAACAGUCUUGAUUGGCUCAAGCUGAGACCCGUUCCAGGCCGGAAGGACUGCGCUCGCUUGUUCCCAGGCCUACUUCUUGCAGCACCCUUAGCCUUGACCCAUAACAUCCAAUUGAUUUAUUCCUGAUUGUUAGGAGGCCUCUGGAGCUCGUCUCGAUUGGCUCCAUAUGAGAACGGUGCCGAGAGGUCAUCUAUAACAAUCAUUUUCAGUGGCUCAUUAUUUUCAGGCCAAACAACCCAAAGACCCAAUUUCCUACCACACUGUUCAUAAAAGUGACAGAUGGCCCAAGCCUGGAAAAGCUUUCCUAUAAUGGUUCGCCGGCUGAAGCGCUGCGUAUAAUGCUCUUUAGUGUAGUGGCAUUUGGACUCUGUUCCUCUCUCCCACUCCUUCCACCUUCUCUAUCCUGUUCAUUUUUUCCAAGGUGAAAAAGCGAGGAGAACGCAGUGUGUUUAAUAGCUUUAGGCCAUAUUCCAUUCAGUUCAGCUUUCCUCCUCUUCAUAUUGCCUCAGUGUGAUCCAGCACGUAGAUAUCUGCCAGGUAGCUUGUCUGCAUGUCUUUAAAGGCCCAACCCAACCCUACCUCAACGUGGGCUGAGACCUGGUCUUCUUUCGUGCCACAGACCCGCCAUUCUCUGGUAUUCAGAGUCAUCCAGUCACUCGGCUGGGCCUGCGGCCCUCGAUGGCUGCCUGCGAGGAUCUUUUCUUGCUGGGGAAGUGCCUGUGUGAUAAAUGUGUGGCUUGGAACAACAGCUGAGACUAAGACUUGGCUCAGCCGUCCUGCUGCUUGUUACAGACACAAGUGUGGUUUCCUCAUAUCUUGGCUCUUUGUCAUGAAUGACCUCUUUCAUUUUUCCCCACCUCCAAUAAUACCCGAACCUCUCUACUCAGCAUUUAAGAAAGAAAACUCAUUUUUCCCCGAGUCCCUUUUUUCAUGUUUGUUUCCACCCGUUUUUGGCAGAGUAAAGUGCUAGGUCAUUGGCGUAACUUUAUCCACUGCAUGGUGGCCUGCAGCGUUGUGUGGGGUGGCGGGUGGGGAAGACGGAUGGUUUUAAAGAUGUUUGAAACAUUCAGAUUUUACUAGCGAGGUUUUUUUAUAUUCACCAAAAAAACAAAACCACCCAUUUAUUGGCGCAUGUGGGUUUGUUUCCUCUCCUGUUUUGCCACUUUGCACAAAGACGCUGAUAUGAUACAUGUUACAAAACUGUCACCUCCCACAUAAACUCUGGCUGCCAGAGACUUGUGUAAUUUCCGAGCCUUUUUAUUUUAAUAAAACCCUCGGCCUCAGAUCCAGUCUGCUCACUUGAUCCACUGGCAGAUCUUACCUUCCGUCAGUUCAUCCAUCCUGGUGUCGCUUCAACCACAGAUUCAUCUUAUAAAAAUAGGGGGCCUAACCCCCAUCUCCCUCAGUCAUCUUUCAUCCUGGUUUUGUGGCCCUCCCAUGUGUGCCUCUAAUCUCUCCCUUGUGUUUCUGAAAUGUCAGUGUGGAGCAGCGAGCAUGUACUUGCUCGCUAUGGAUUUCCCAUGGAAUGCGCCAUUUUCGGUUCACCCUGCAUACGUUGCCUGUUUUGAUAGGCGGUGAUUAUGGAGUAUUUAUUUUCCUACUGGGUGUGGGAACUCAACCUGUUGGUACACUAUCAUUGUGAAGCAGGCUGCUGUUUCUUCUGAAGCCGUGACUCACGCACGUUGACACACAAAAACACCAACACAUACUGUCAAUUAGAUUAGCUAAGAUUAGAUCAGAUCUGUAAUUAACUUUCAGGUCGACGCCGAAAGCACCUUAAGAUGUUUUGUUGAGAAAAGGAAGGAUUAAAAAAAAUUAAGCCACCAUCAGAGAAAGGAAAACCUGCUUUUUUGUAACUGGAGAAGGAUGAGAAUAAAACAAGAUACAGAACACGGAUGGAAUUUGAGUUUUGGUCUUUCAUGUCAUAAUAAGUGCUUUCUAUGCAAAUUCAGCUUGGAUGCAUGACGUGCACAUAUCAAUGUGUGUACGUGAGCGGGGGGGGGAUGCACAGCCUUACGUGUUUGUUUGUGUUCAGGGGAAGAGAGGCCUGGUAAGUCAGAGAGGUUAAGCCCUAACUAUCCGACUCAUUGGCCAAUGGUGGAGGUCUGCUUUUGGGUCUUUAGUGGAGGAGGGGUCAAACAGACCAAGAGAGUGAAUGAUUGGGGUU